UAGGGAAUCUUCCGCAAUGGACGAAAGUCUGACGGAGCAACGCCGCGUGAGUGAAGAAGGAUUUCGGUUCGUAAAACUCUGUUGUUAGGGAAGAAAAAAUGAAUAGUAACUAUAUACAAAAGAGACGGUACCUAACCAGAAAGCCACGGCUAACUACGUGCCAGCAGCCGCGGUAAUACGUAGGUGGCAAGCGUUGUCCGGAAUUAUUGGGCGUAAAGCGCGCGCAGGUGGUUUAGAAAGUCUGAUGUGAAAGCCCACGGCUCAACCGUGGAGGGUCAUUGGAAACUAAUAAACUUGAGUGCAGGAGAGAAAAGUGGAAUUCCUAGUGUAGCGGUGAAAUGCGUAGAGAUUAGGAGGAACACCGGUGGCGAAAGCGGCUUUUUGGCCUGCAACUGACACUGAGGCGCGAAAGCGUGGGGAGCAAACAGG
rnacentral:rRNA from 1 species